GGGCAUAUGGGUGGAUUCUUCGAUCUCUAGAACGACUUAACGGGGACAACCAAUGCUGGAUCCUAUGUAUCGGCAUCAACUCCCACUUGACAUUUUUACAGGAUUUGGUCCACAAUGCAUGAAUACUCAUGGAAGAGACUUCAGGAUCCAGCCCAAAACUAGUAGUCAACCAGUGCUUCAACUGCCUAAUGUCCAGUCUGUCCGGGUCUGAAAGUGUCAUGACGCCUUUUUUAAACUCGCUAAGAUCAACCCCCAACUCAUUAUAUCGAACAUUACCAGGGCCGUAAUAGACAGUCAAAUUUACGAAUUCAGACAUUUUCACCUAUCAGACAUUGUCAGCUUGUCAUUAUUUGCAACGAGCAAAUUUAUACAAAAAUA
rnacentral:lncRNA from 1 species